UACGGAGGGUGCGAGCGUUGUCCGGAAUCACUGGGCGUAAAGGGCGCGUAGGCGGCCUGAUAAGUAGGGGGUGAAAUCCUGCGGCUUAACCGCAGGGCUGCCUUCUAAACUGUCGGAGCUCGAGCACGGUAGAGGCAGAGUGAAUUCCCGGUGUCGGCGGUGGAAUGCGUAGAGAUCGGGAAGAACAUCAGUGGCGAAGGCGGUCUGCUGGGCCGUUGCUGACGCUGAGGCGCGACAGCGUGGGGAGCAAACAGG
rnacentral:rRNA from 1 species